rnacentral:rRNA from 1 species
AGUGAACGCUGGCGGUAGGCCUAACACAUGCAAGUCGAACGGCAGCACAGUAAGAGCUUGCUCUUACGGGUGGCGAGUGGCGGACUGGUGAGGAAUACAUCGGAAUCUACUUUUUCGUGGGGGAUAACGUAGGGAAACUUACGCUAAUACCGCAUACGACCUACGGGUGAAAGCAGGGGAUCUUCGGACCUUGCGCGAUUGAAUGAGCCGAUGUCGGAUUAGCUAGUUGGCGGGGUAAAGGCCCACCAAGGCGACGAUCCGUAGCUGGUCUGAGGGGAUGAUCAGCCACACUGGAACUGAGACACGGUCCAGACUCCUACGGGAGGCAGCAGUGGGGAAUAUUGGACAAUGGGCGCAAGCCUGAUCCAGCCAUACCGCGUGGGUGAAGAAGGCCUUCGGGUUGUAAAGCCCUUUUGUUGGGAAAGAAAAGCAGCAGGUUAAUACCCCGCUGUUCUGACGGUACCCAAAGAAUAAGCACCGGCUAACUUCGUG